UACAGGGGGGGGCAAGCGUUGUUCGGAAUUACUGGGCGUAAAGGGUCUGUAGGUGGCCAACUAAGUCAGACGUGAAAUCCCUCAGCUUAACUGGGGAACUGCGUCUGAUACUGGAUGGCUUGAGUGUGGGAGAGGAAUGCGGGAUUCCAGGUGUAGCGGUGAAAUGCGUAGAUAUCUGGAGGAACACCGGUGGCGAAGGCGGCAUUCUGGACCACAACUGACACUGAGAGACGAAAGCCAGGGGAGCAACGGG
rnacentral:rRNA from 1 species